rnacentral:rRNA from 1 species
GAUGAAGGCCUUCGGGUUGUAAACUGCUUUUGUACGGAACGAAAAGGUUUGGCCUAAUAAGCUGAUCUCAUGACGGUACCGUAAGAAUAAGCACCGGCUAACUACGUGCCAGCAGCCGCGGUAAUACGUAGGGUGCGAGCGUUAAUCGGAAUUACUGGGCGUAAAGCGUGCGCAGGCGGUUAUGUAAGACAGAUGUGAAAUCCCCGGGCUCAACCUGGGAACUGCAUUAGUGACUGCAUAACUGGAGUACGGCAGAGGGGGAUGGAAUUCCGCGUGUAGCAGUGAAAUGCGUAGAUAUGCGGAGGAACACCGAUGGCGAAGGCAAUCCCCUGGGCCUGUACUGACGCUCAUGCACGAAAGCGUGGGGAGCAAACAGGAUUAGAUACCCUGGUAGUCCACGCCCUAAACGAUGUCAACUGGUUGUUGGGUCUUCACUGACUCACUAACGAAACUCACGCGUGAAGUUGACCGCCUGGGGAGUACGGCCGCAAGGUUGAAACUCACAGGAAUUGACGGGGACCCGCACAAGCGGUGGAUGAUGUGGUUUAAUUCUAUGCAACGCGAAAAACCUUACCCACCUUUGACAUGUACGGAAGUUACCAGAGAUG